GAUGAAGAACGUAGCGAAAUGCGAUAAGUAAUGUGAAUUGCAGAAUUCAGUGAAUCAUCGAAUCUUUGAACGCACAUUGCGCCCGCCAGUAUUCUGGCGGGCAUGCCUGUUCGAGCGUCAUUUCAACCAUCAAGCCCCCGGGCUUGUGUUGGAGCCCUGCGGCUGCCGCAGCCUCCCAAAACCAGUGGCGGGCUCGCUAUCACACCGAGUGCAGUAGUUUACUCUUCGCUCAGGGCGUGUGGCGGGUGCUAGCCGUGAAACCCCCAACUUCUCAAGGUUGACCUCGGAUCAGGUAGGAAUACCCGCUGAAAUUAAGCAUAUCAAUAAGCGGAGGA
rnacentral:misc_RNA from 1 species